GUGAGGAAUUUUCCGCAAUGGGCGAAAGCCUGACGGAGCAAUGCCGCGUGAAGGAUGAAGGCCUAUGGGUUGUAAACUUCUUUUCUCAGAAAAGAAUUAUGACGGUAUCUGAGGAAUAAGCAUCGGCUAACUCUGUGCCAGCAGCCGCGGUAAGACAGAGGAUGCAAGCGUUAUCCGGAAUGAUUGGGCGUAAAGCGUCUGUAGGUUGUUUAAAAAGUAUUCUGUCAAAGAUUAGGGCUUAACCCUAGAUAGGCAGAAUAAACUUUUAAGCUAGAGUUUGGUAGAGGCAGAGGGAAUUCCCGGUGGAGCGGUGAAAUGCGUAGAUAGCGGGAGGAACACCAAAGGCGAAGGCACUCUGCUGGGCCAAUACUAACACUGAGAGACGAAAGCGAGGGGAGCAAAUGGGAUUAGAAACCCGAGUAGUCC
rnacentral:rRNA from 1 species